rnacentral:rRNA from 1 species
AGUGGACGCUGGCGGUAGGCCUAACACUUGCAAGUCGAACGGCAGCACAGUAAGAGCUUGCUCUUACGGGUGGCGAGUGGCGGACGGGUGAGGAAUACAUCGGAAUCUACUUUUUCGUGGGGGAUAACGUAGGGAAACUUACGCUAAUACCGCAUACGACCUACGGGUGAAAGCAGGGGAUCUUCGGACCUUGCGCGAUUGAAUGAGCCGAUGUCGGAUUAGCUAGUUGGCGGGGUAAAGGCCCACCAAGGCGACGAUCCGUAGCUGGUCUGAGAGGAUGAUCAGCCACACUGGAACUGAGACACGGUCCAGACUCCUACGGGAGGCAGCAGUGGGGAAUAUUGGACAAUGGGCGCAAGCCUGAUCCAGCCAUACCGCGUGGGUGAAGAAGGCCUUCGGGUUGUAAAGCCCUUUUGUUGGGAAAGAAAAGCAGCAGGUUAAUACCCCGCUGUUCUGACGGUACCCAAAGAAUAAGCACCGGCUAACUUCGUG